AUGGAGCACUCCAGUCAGUUUGUACUGAGUGCAGAUUCAGAACCAUAGAACUAGUAUUUGAAUUUGAAAACCAGAAAUGCCUCUGCAUGGGGUGGAAACUGCUCAUUUUUCCAUGCCACCCACUGUCAUAAACCAGUGAUAAGAUUACAGGUCAUCUAAUCAGAUGCCAUAAACACGCAGUCAUGGAAAGUACACUGAGUACAGGAGUGCUGGGACGACUGUCGGCCUGGCAGUGUGAUCCAGCCCGAGAGUGUCCCCAUGUCUCUCCUCUCAGACAAGGGUCCCGGCCAUGGGCUGCUCCAUGCUGGGACAGUGGCCAUGGCUAUCAUCAUGCAGAUAUGUGCAGCGGUCUUCUAUGGUCUGGCCCAGGAGCACAAUAUCCCCAAUGCAGUGUUUCCGACCUCAUAUCUGAACAUCUCUGAGAUGCUGAGCCUGAAGGUGAGCAUGGACCGCUGGGCUCAGAACAACUGGCUGAUGAUCGACAUCUGGUCUCUGGCCUGGCUGGUGGAGGCCAUGUACAGGCUGUGCAAAAGAAAUGUGUUCGGACCUGAAGCUUGUAACCCGGAGCUGCACCCUCCGCUCUUCUACCUCAUGUGGGCCUCAGUCAACAGUGCACGCAUCUGCAGCAUGCUCCUUUGGUACAGGCAUAAAAUACUAUCAGCCUUCAUAGUGUCUGCAAUGCAACCGGCUUUCAGCUUCUACAUGCUCUACACAUCCUACUACAACCUCAACAAGCACAAGACCUGGCUCGCCAUUAACAACCCCAAUGCCCUGUGGUGGACACGUUAUCUGACUCAGAGUGGCGUGGCCCUGUUUGCCUGGUGGACUCUCUUGACUGCAGUGCUCAACUUUGGCGUAGUGCUCAAGUAUAAGGCGGGAGUGGAGGAUGCCGUCGCCAGCACCAUCGUCCUCACUGUCAUUUUACUCUCUGCCGUCGUCUGGUUUCUUUUACAGAGUGUCUUUUACAUCGAGCACAUGCGCUACACCUUUACUGUGUACGCCAUUUUGAUCUUGGGUCUGGGCGCCAUGUUCACCAAGAACUUCCAAGUCAACAACUGGACCACCAACACUGUGUACUGUGGAUUGCUGAUGCUCGUGAUCACCAUCAUGUCCACCAUGCACCUGAUGGCUGCGUGCGUGCACAACGGCGACUCCCGCAAGCCUCCCCCGGUUCACCCUGAUCUUAUACUGGAGAACUGUGCGACUGUGUGCCAUCCGCAGGGCCAAUGCCAUUUGCAAAAACCACAAUGGAACCAAUUUGGCGCCCUAGGCAAGAUUUAACUUUGCCCCCCCCCCUCCCGGAAAUCUCUAGUUUCCAACACAAAAGACCCCAAGUCUCUAUCACUUUCUAUUCCAAAGUUAUGUCCAAAAAUCGGCGAUGUUGUAGAUGGCGGGAGUAAGGGGUUAAAAAACUCAGCCACAAUUCGGCGCCCCCUCCAGCAGAUGGCGCCCUAGGCGGCCGCCCAGGUCGCCUAUGCCUGAAUGGAACAUCUAAAAGUGGGAAAUAAAACCUAUAUACUGUAUGUAUGAGCAUGGACUUGCUUUUAUCUUGCCACCAGGGAGCAGCAUUUCUCCGCUCCAAACCAUAAAGUCCUCCAAAAGCUGUACAUAACGGCACAGAUGGUCAAAUAUGCAUAAAAACAACCUUAUCUUAAUGAUGAGAAACUUACCACUUCUGAGAAAUUCUUUGUGAGAUUCAUGUCUGCUAUAGCCUAUUACUAUGUUUAUUCCAAAUCUAAUUACUUAUCAGAUGUUUACAUACACUUUAUAAAAAGAAACAUUUGCAUUUGUUUCUCAUUGUCUGACGUGAAACCAGAAUUAACUUUUACUUUUUUAGGUCUUUUUAAUUAUUUAUAUUUGCUAAAUGCCAGAAGUAUGAGAGAUAGAAUUUUCUACACGGUUUUAUAUUACUUUUUACAAAGCCAAAAGUUUACAUACAUUAUUUCAUUAAUAUUUGGUAGAUUUGCCUUUAAACUGUAUAACUUGGGUCAAACGUUUUUGAUUUCUGUCCACAAGCUUCUUACAAUAGAAUUCCGGUCCAUUCCUCCAAACAGAACUGGUGUAACUGAGACACAUUUGGAGGCCAUCUUGCGCGCACAUGCCUUUUCAGCUCUGCCCAUACAUUUUCAACUGGAUUGACUUUGUAAUGACCACUUCAAAACAUUGACUUUAUGAUUCAUAAGCCACUUUGUAAUCAGUUUGGCCAUAUGCUUUGGGAAUUGUCCAUUUGGAAGACCCAUCAGCACCCAACCUUUAACUUCCUGGCUGUUGUCUUGAGAUGUUGCUCCAAUAUUGUGUUCUUUCUUCAUGAUGUCAUCUAUUUUGUGAAGUGCACCAGUCCCUCCUGCAGCAAAACAACCCCACAGCAUGAUGCUGCCACCCCUGUAUUUCAUAGUUGGGAUAAUGUUCUCAGACUCACAAGAUUCCCCCUUUUUCCUCCAGACGUGACGAUGGUCAUUAUGGCCAAAAAAUGUUUUUUUUUUUUUUCGUCAGACCACAGGAAAUGUCUCCAAAAAUUAAAGUCUUUAUCUUCUUUUAAUUUGCAAACUCCAAACUGGCUUUUUGAUGUUUCUUUUGGAGUAAUUGGCUUGGACCUGCCAGAGUACCCUCUCAGCCCAUGUCGGUACAGUACUUGUUUCACUCUGGAUAAUAACACACUCUUACCAGUUUCAGCAUCUUCACCAGGUCUUUUGCAUUUGUUCUUGGGUUGAUAUUCACAUUUCAGACCAGAGCACGUUCAUCUCUGGGACACAGAACCCGCCUUCUUUCUGAUCUGUAUUGUUACUGGACAUUUCCAUCUUUUUAUACUUGUAUAUAAUUGUUUGAACCAAUGAACGUGGCAUCUUCAAGCAUCUGGAAAUUGCACCCAAGGAUGAACCAGACUUGUGCUUCCAAGGUCAUCUGGGCGUACAUAAAUUGUUUAAAGGUAUAGUAAUUUUAGUGUAAACUUCUGACUUUAUAAAAAGUAACACAUUAUUUGAUCUUGUUUUUUCGCAUAAAAUGUUGCAUAAUGCACCUUUUAAAGGAUGCACCUUUUAAAAUCGACUUUUUGAGUUUUUAACCAUGUUGUUAUGCUAUUUCCUUAUCAAAAACACCCCCAGAGCGGUUUUUGGCUUCAUUCACGCAGUUCUAAGUAAUCCUCCUGAAUCCUGCUCUCUGAGCAGCUGCUCUGCCCUCUCCUGGUAAACGACUGAGCUGUUCAGUUGUGUCGUCACAAAGGAACGGAAGUGCUCUACGUCUGUAAUGUAAUGCAGUGUUUCUCAAAGUGGGGGUCGGGACCCCUCGGGGGGUUGCGAGGCCUUGGGUGGGGGUCCCCAGAUGAUUCUAGGAUAAAAUAAAAGUAAAAAAAUGCUACUGUUUGAAGUAUAUUUUUGAGUGUAAAACAGCAUAUCAUUUGUGAAAUCCAUUCAAAUAAUCAAAAUAAACUGUUUAAAUACAUAUUAACUUGAUUUUUAAAUGUUUUUCUUCCCUAAAGUAGCGUAAGAGGCAGUAACUUUAUACAAUGGGGGUCCCGAGUUGUUUACGUGUCAAUUUUUGGGGUCCCAGUCAAAAAAAGUUUGGGAACCCCUGAUGUAUUGCCUUACGCCCUGAUUUUAAUUUAUAAAACAGCGUUUUCAUUAUUUUUGUUGUAAGGGAGAAAUAAAAAAUAA
rnacentral:lncRNA from 1 species